GUCCCAUCUGUUGCUGAUUUUCUGGUUUAAAUAUUAGUUUAUACUUGUUGGAAAUUGUGGUCCUUGCAAAACGUCUUGUUUCCGCAGCAAUGUGUUCCUCCAGUUUCUAGACUUUAUUCAUUCAGUAGGCAGUAAUUAGCACUUCCCUGAAUCCUGGGUGUGGGCCAUGAUGGAGAAAAAGUACCCAAUACCUACUCCUAGAUCAGUUUUGUAUCUGUGGAUUCUUUCUCACUUGAAAACAGUUAAAUUAGGUCUUUCUGUAAUUUCUAAAUUGUAUUGUUCUAACUGUAUAAAGUAUGAAUUAUCUCAAAUGCAGGUUCAAUGAUGUGUUACUGUCAUUUAUUUCUGGAAUCAGUUAAUUGCAACCUUCAAAAUGAAUAUUAGAAUUAAAAGCCCAGAAUCUGUUUUCAUUAUUGUUGCUGGUUUGUUUGUUCUCUCUUUAGUAUAAAGUACUGUAACUAUUUGCUACUGUUUAAGGAGUUAAUCCUUGUCAUAGCUUUCCGUAACCUUAUCUUUUUCUUGUUUUUCAGGGUCAGCCUGGUCCUCAAAAAACACGUGAGGUACCAGGACCCACAAAACUUAGGAGGAAAAUUCCUACAACCUAACUUCACUACUUCCUCCCAGUGGAAAAGCUCACCUCUUUGCCAUUGUCAUCAUUUCAUUGUUCAUUCUGAGCAACACUUACCAUUACUCCAAAUACCGCCUUUCCUUCCUUUCAACUCAAGAUGCCCCUCUUAUUGGAGGACGAUAUGUACUCAGAUGUUUUGACUGGCUGGAUGAGUGCAGAAAUAAUUCUUGAAAUGCGCAGGUGAGGAGUGAUAAUGGCAUGAAACACUCAGAGUAAGAUUCAACUCUAGAUCAAGAUGCCUAAAGCUAGAAGCUUGUGUGGUGGCGUUGACAUACGAGGUGUCUAAGCACUCCUUCUAGUUGGUGAAGGCGAAGUCAACACUCAGUGCACCUAGAGAGCUCUUCUGCUCAUUGCAGCCUCCUGGGGCUCAAGUACAUUGCCUGCCGACAGGCAUCUGUGGCUGCAUGAGAAAAUUCAGGGUCUUCAG
rnacentral:lncRNA from 1 species